rnacentral:rRNA from 1 species
UACAGAGGCCUCGAGCGUUAGGCGGAAUCACUGGGCUUAAAGCGUGUGUAGGCGGAUUGGUAAGUACCUUGUGAAAUCCCACAGCUUAACUGUGGAACUGCUCGGUAUACUGCUGAUCUUGAGCCACUCAGGGGCUACCGGAACAAAUGGUGGAGCGGUGAAAUGCGUAGAUAUCAUUUGGAACGCCAAUGGUGAAAACAGGUAGCUGGGGGUGUGCUGACGCUGAGACACGAAAGCCAGGGGAGCAAACGGGAUUAGAUACCCCGGUAGUCCUGGCCGUAAACGAUGUCGACUAGAUCGUGGUGCCUCUGACGGUGUCACGGUCGUAGCAAAAGUGCUAAGUCGACCGCCUGGGAAGUACGGUCGCAAGGCUAAA